CGUGUAGGCGGGCCUUCAAGUCGGACGUGAAAUCCCUCGGCUUAACCGGGGAACUGCUUCCGAUACUGUGGGUCUUGAGUCAAUCAGGGGUCGAUGGAACUUCAGGUGGAGCGGUGAAAUGCGUAGAUAUCUGAAGGAACGCCAGUGGCGAAAGCGGUCGACUGGGAUUGUACUGACGCUGAGACGCGAAAGCGUGGGGAGCGAACG
rnacentral:rRNA from 1 species